rnacentral:rRNA from 1 species
AGGGUUUGAUCAUGGCUCAGAACGUACGCUGGCGGCACGCCUAAUACAUGCAAGUCGAACGGAGUAGCAAUACUUAGUGGCAGACGGGUGAGUAACAUGUGGGUAUCUUCCCUUUGGUGAGGAAUAACACGAGGAAACUUGUGCUAAUACCUCAUAAGUCUUUACGGAGAAAGCUUUAUGCGCCAAUGGAUGAGCCCGCACUUGAUUAGUUUGUUGGUAGGGUAAUGGCCUACCAAGACUGUGAUCAAUAGCUGAUUUGAGAGGAUGAUCAGCCACAUUGGGACUGAGACACGGCCCAAACUCCUACGGGAGGCAGCAGUAGGGAAUCUUGCACAAUGGAGGAAACUCUGAUGCAGCGAUGCCGCGUGAGUGAAGAAGGCCCUUGGGUUGUAAAGCUCUUUCGUCGGGGAAGAAAAUGACUGUACCCGAAUAAGAAGGUCCGGCUAACUUCGUGCCAGCAGCCGCGGUAAUACGAAGGGACCUAGCGUAGUUCGGAAUUACUGGGCUUAAAGAGUUCGUAGGUGGUUAAAAAAGUUGGUGGUGAAAGCCCAGAGCUUAACUCUGGAACAGCCAUCAAAACUUUUUAGCUAGAGUUUGAUAAAGGAAAGCAGAAUUUCUAGUGUAGAGGUGAAAUUCGUAGAUAUUAGAAAGAAUACCGAUUGCGAAGGCAGCUUUCUGGAUCAUUACUGACACUGA